GCUCCUUUCCAGGGUUAUUCUAUGCCUGGCCACCCUUGGGUGCACAGGAAGUCACAAAUGGGGCCGAAGAGAGAAAAAAGAGAAACCUGAACUUGAGAAGAAAAACACGGGCGGCCUUACCCCACUGAGACCUCACAAAGGAGCAACAAGAAAGACUCAAGAGGACCAAGGCCUAUGAUGUACCAAGGAUGUUAGCUGCCAGGAGUGCAUUUCUGAAUCAUUUCUUAACACUUGGCAAGGAGGCAUGAUUGUUUAAAACUGCUUUUGUAGCCAGGGAACUGGAAAUAUUACGUCUAUAAACAACAAUGGAUUUUAAUUUUCCUGUAUUCUAAUCAUUUUCACUUAAAAUAUUGGAAGUUUUAAAGGGACACUCUUUGAGGCUAAGGCUUUAUCUGUUCUGAUCUUGUUAAGUCACUAACUUGCCCCGGGUGGGCCGGAACUUGCAGUGCUCCUGCCUCAGGCUCCCAGAGUGCUGGAAGUACAGGAUCCUCAACUUCAACCUCCAAAUGAAGACAACACCCCAUGACACUCACAGUGAAGAAACUCUGGAUUCCUGAGUGACAUGUAGAGCCAGGAACCUAUCAACCCACUCUGGACUACUACACAGAAGAUAAUUAAGCGUUGUAGUCUUAAGUCUCUGUAUUAUAACAUCUCUUUGUUAAGGUGACAAAACUAAGCAUCUGUGACAAAGGCCCUAAUGUUUACUGCAUCCAGACUGCUGUAUCCCCUUGUCCACACAACUGAAAGAUUCCCUCAUGAGACAUUCAAGAUGUCCAAGUACCAGCCGGCAUUGAAUCAUGAACUGCUGUAAGUUCAUCAUCUCAUUUACUCCACGUGACAUACUUACGGCUGCUGGCCAGAAAAUAGAGACGUGUGCUUAUUGGCUAGAUUUUAUAACAAUGUGGCUCAUUGAUGAGUAAAAACCCAGACAGAUUUGGAUUGCACAGAGUUAAAAGUAAAAAGCCACACCUUACCCUGACCAAUCUUGACUUCUCAUUCCAGGGCCCUCUUAAAUGAUAUAUAAAGUUUAUAUAUACAUGGAUGAUUUUUACAGGGAAAAUAACAGAGUCCAUCAUAGACAUUUAUACUUAUAAGGGUGAAAAUAUCUAUUUGUUUUAAAAAUUCUUUUCUAAUUUUGUAUUUAAUAUGUUAACAAUUAAGUGCUUUGAACUGAUAAAGAAUAUUAAAAUAAACAUCAUUUAUAACCACUUUCAUCCCAGCAGUUCUGCUUUUAGCCAAUUAAUCUAUAGAAAUACUCAUGAAAAUGUGUAAAAGGGUAUAUAAAUUUAAAUCUGUAUUAAUAUUGCAAAUACAUCCAAAUAAUAACCUAAUACAUAUAUUUCGCUGAACAGUUUAUCACUUUGUUUAUAUUUUAAGCCAUUACCAACAGUGCUUACUGAUAUUAUUUUUAAUUUUGAGAAAUU